GGUUAAGCGAACAAGCGUACACGGUGGAUGCCCUGGCAGUCAGAGGCGAUGAAGGACGUGCUAAUCUGCGAAAAGCGCCGGUAAGGUGAUAUGAACCGUUAUAACCGGCGAUGUCCGAAUGGGGAAACCCGGUGCACUUCGGUGCAUCAUCGUUAGCUGAAUACAUAGGCUAACGAGGCGAACCGGGGGAACUGAAACAUCUAAGUACCCCGAGGAAAAGAAAUCAACCGAGAUUCCCCCAGUAGCGGCGAGCGAACGGGGAACAGCCCAGAGCCUGAAUCAGCUUGUGUGUCAGUGGAACGGUCUGGAAAGGCCGGCGAUACAGGGUGACAGCCCCGUACACGAAGGCACACAGGCUGUGAGCUCGAUGAGUAGGGCGGGACACGUGAUAUCCUGUCUGAAGAUGGGGGGACCAUCCUCCAAGGCUAAAUACUCCUGACUGACCGAUAGUGAACCAGUACCGUGAGGGAAAGGCGAAAAGAACCCCGGCGAGGGGAGUGAAACAGAACCUGAAACCGUGUACGUACAAGCAGUGGGAGCCUUCGUAAGAGGGUGACUGCGUACCUUUUGUAUAAUGGGUCAGCGACUUAUAUUCUGUAGCAAGGUUAACCGUAUAGGGGAGCCGAAGGGAAACCGAGUCUUAACCGGGCGUUAAGUUGCAGGGUAUAGACCCGAAACCCGGUGAUCUAGCCAUGGGCAGGUUGAAGGUUGGGUAACACUAACUGGAGGACCGAACCGACUAAUGUUGAAAAAUUAGCGGAUGACCUGUGGCUGGGGGUGAAAGGCCAAUCAAACCGGGAGAUAGCUGGUUCUCCCCGAAAGCUAUUUAGGUAGCGCCUCGUGAACUCAUCUCCGGGGGUAGAGCACUGUUUCGGCUAGGGGGCCAUCCCGGCUUACCAACCCGAUGCAAACUGCGAAUACCGGAGAAUGUUAUCACGGGAGACACACGGCGGGUGCUAACGUCCGUCGUGAAGAGGGAAACAACCCAGACCGCCAGCUAAGGUCCCAAAGUCAUGGUUAAGUGGGAAACGAUGUGGGAAGGCCCAGACAGCCAGGAUGUUGGCUUAGAAGCAGCCAUCAUU
rnacentral:rRNA from 1 species